rnacentral:rRNA from 1 species
GCCCUUAUGGCUGUCGUCAGCUUCGUGCCGUGAGGUGUUGGGUUAAGUCCCGCAACGAGCGCAACCCCUAUUGUUAGUUGCCAUCACAUAAUGGUGGGCACUCUAAUGAGACUGCCCGGGUCAACCGGGAGGAAGGUGGGGACGACGUCAAGUCAUCAUGGCCCUUACGCCUAGGGCUACACACGUACUACAAUGGUGCAUACAAAGGGUUGCGAAACCGCGAGGUCAAGCCAAUCCCAAAAAAUGCAUCCCAGUCCGGAUCGGAGUCUGCAACUCGACUCCGUGAAGUUGGAAUCGCUAGUAAUCCCGGAUCAGCAUGCCGGGCUGAAUACGUUCCCGGGCCUUGUACACACCGCCCGUCACACCACGGCGCUGUUCUACCC